rnacentral:rRNA from 1 species
AGAGUUUGAUCCUGGCUCAGGAUGAACGCUAGCGGCAGGCUUAACACAUGCAAGUCGAGGGGCAGCAUAAUGGAUAGCAAUAUCUAUGGUGGCGACCGGCGCACGGGUGCGUAACGCGUAUGCAACCUACCCAUAACAGGGGGAUAACACUGAGAAAUUGGUACUAAUACCCCAUAACAUCAGGACCGGCAUCGGUUCUGGUUGAAAACUCCGGUGGUUAUGGAUGGGCAUGCGUUGUAUUAGCUGGUUGGUGAGGUAACGGCUCACCAAGGCAACGAUACAUAGGGGGACUGAGAGGUUAACCCCCCACAUUGGUACUGAGACACGGACCAAACUCCUACGGGAGGCAGCAGUGAGGAAUAUUGGUCAAUGGACGCAAGUCUGAACCAGCCAUGCCGCGUGCAGGAAGACGGCUCUAUGAGUUGUAAACUGCUUUUGUACGAGGGUAAACGCUCUUACGUGUAAGAGCCUGAAAGUAUCGUACGAAUAAGGAUCGGCUAACUCCGUGCCAGCAGCCGCGGUAAUACGGAGGAUUCAAGCGUUAUCCGGAUUUAUUGGGUUUAAAGGGUGCGUAGGCGGUUUGAUAAGUUAGAGGUGAAAUACCGGUGCUUAACACCGGAACUGCCUCUAAUACUGUUGAACUAGAGAGUAGUUGCGGUAGGCGGAAUGUAUGGUGUAGCGGUGAAAUGCUUAGAGAUCAUACAGAACACCGAUUGCGAAGGCAGCUUACCAAACUAUAUCUGACGUUGAGGCACGAAAGCGUGGGGAGCAAACAGGAUUAGAUACCCUGGUAGUCCACGCAGUAAACGAUGAUAACUCGCUGUCGGCGAUACACAGUCGGCGGCUAAGCGAAAGCGAUAAGUUAUCCACCUGGGGAGUACGUUCGCAAGAAUGAAACUCAAAGGAAUUGACGGGGGCCCGCACAAGCGGAGGAACAUGUG